UCUAGCAAAAAUGACAAAAUCUUCCUAAGCUUGUUUUGUGUCCUGAGGAACUUGGCUUGGUAACCACAAGGUCCCAAAAUAGACUGAUGUGGGUUGACUCUGUGACUAGCGUCCUGCUGGAGCCCUCAGAAGAUCAUGACCUAGAAGUACAAUGGCUGUUACAUGGAAGGUUCCAAUUAGGUAAGAUCAUUUAAGAAUGAGACCUGAAAGCACAGGUUCUCAAUUGAACAGAAUGGGAUACCCAUUUCAUGUGGCAUGCAGACACCUCCAAAAGGUUUCAAAAUUCCAAAAACAGUUUCACUGAAAGGUUUUAUUGCAAAAAAGUUAAAAAUUAAAAAGAGAAAAACGUAGGUACCUAUAACAAGACUGUAAGACUGAGUACUCGUUCUCAUCUGAAUUUUAAAAGACUACAUAAACAUCAACAAAAUUCAGCCAAGUUAAGGGCCUUACAGACAUCCUGUUAUCUGCCUUCUAAACAGGGCCCUCAUAUGAGCCCCUGCCAGAGCUGACAAAGCUGAGGGAUUUUCUGAUAACUGCUACAUCAUUCCUUAGACAGUCAAGGGGAGACCAGGAGAAACCAGAUCGUGCUGAGGGGAUCCUGGACAAACUGGCAGAAGCCAGCAAAAGGUGAAAAUUCUUACCAGAGUCUGCUGUUCCAAAUCUCUGCCUGCCAAGUCAAACAGAAAAUAAAAUCACACUGUCCUUCCCUUCUAAACCCAGGCCCACUGGUUAGUGAUCCCUUCUCUCCCAGGGACAGCUACUGUCUUUCCUGUUUAUCUGGUUUUGCACAACUGGGUUGGCUUUCUGCCUGCUUGGGACAGGCAGGUUGUUGGUUCUGUCUUUUGGCCAUCAUUGUGAGUGAUUCUAGAUUUUAGAUUUUAGAUUUUCUAGGGAAGUUGAUAUCCUCUGUACCCUCCUUGCUGAUCCAUCUUUUUUACCCAACAGAAUCUAUUCAAUACUGCCAAAAAUACAUAAAGUUACAACGAUGUACCCAGAGGGGAAAAAAGCAAACUGAGGAUACUACAGUUGGACAGCUGCAGCAAGCUCUGAUGCCAUAUUUUAUUUAUUUAUUUGUCAGAGAGAAGAGAGAGUGCACAAGCAGGCAGAGCUGCAGGCAGAGGCAGAAAGAGAAGCAGGCUCCCCACUAAACAAAGAGCCCGAUGCGGAACUCAAUCCCAGCACCUUGGGAUCGUGACCUGACCUGAAAGCAGUGGCUUAACCGACUGAGCCACCCAGGUUCUCCUAGCUUCUUAUUCUUUUAUGUAUGUCUUCUAGAUGGGUUGAGAUUUCCCCUACUGUAAGACUGAUGUCCUCAUAGGAAAAACCAACCAAAAAAAAAAAAAAAAGACUUAAAACUGUGUUUUCCACUUGGGGUUAUAUUUCCAAAUCACAUGAGCCUCAACGAAAACCUUACAAGCUUCUUGGAAUUCUAUCAAUACACAACCUUCUGAUCCUUUGGCGUCUCAUGCUCGUGUGACCAACUACUUAAUGUCUUGUGCUCAAGCCUGUCAUCCAUAGAUUCAAGAAGCUUUCCUGGAUCCCAAUUCAAAGAAACCUGUUGAUCAUAGCCUAGAGUUUGGUGACUGUAUAAACAAUGCCAGGGGAAAACCACCCUCCAGCCCCACUGGAAAAGGACCUUUCCAGGUGUUCCUGACCACUGACACUGAAGCCCAAUACACAUCACACAGAAAAGGCUCCAGUCGACACCUGGUCCUGUACAGAUGCUAGAGACCUCCACACAUCAAAGGGACAAGCAGAAGUAGCGAACUUCGAGGCAAUCGUCUUCCACCCCGGAUGACAGAUGGACUUCAUACGCUGACUAAAUCUUUGGCAUCUGUACUACAUUCACCUACCUGUACGUGACGUGACAAGAAUGAUGGAUCCAGAUGAGUUUGUUGAACCUCUGGUGGCCACUGGAACACAGCUGGAGCCCCACAUGAAAACUCUGAUCUGCUUCUUGUACGGGAACGCAACGGAAAUAUCUGUAUUUGUAGUCAAGUGGUUUCUAUAAAAGAAAAAGUGUGUCAGCUAUCAUGAACCCCCCUCAGUGAUACAUAAAACUAUGACAGGCACCUAUCAUGCAAAGGUAAAGUAAAAGUAACAUCUUCUCUGCACACGGCAGGGGGGGUCUUGGGUAUCAAAUGAGAAGGUGGAUGAGUGCCCUGAAAAAUGGUAAGCCCUCUAAAAACAAGGUUUUCUCUCCUUCAUCGGCUCAGGUACUCAACACAACCACCCCAAGUGUUAAGUAUGACUGUACACUGCUGUUUAAUGGCUAAAAGAAUGAAGACCCCAAUCGAGUCCCACAUCGGGCUCUCUGCUCAGCGGGGAAAGUGCUUCCUCCUCUCUCUCACUGCCUGCCUCUCUGCCUACUUGUGAUCUCCCUCUGUCAAAUAAAUAAAUAAAAUCUUUAAAAAAAAAAAAAAAAAAAAAAGAA